AUCACUGCGGAGUCGGGGGCUUUUUUUUUUUGGGGGGGGGGGGUCGGUGCACGUAUGCAAGGCAGGAAUGGUCUCCGGGACCCAGGGCUGCUCGGUCCUCGGGGAUGCGCGAAGCGCUGGGGGCCUGGGCAUUUCCGCGGCUGUGCUGUGCGAGGCCGGGGCUGGCACGCGCCACGCGGGCGGCGCCUGAGCUAGUUUCCUCGCUGCGCUCCCCUCCUCCGCCCACUCGGCCCUCCUCCCGCGUUGCCACGACAACGCGCGAAACUAAAAUUCACUUCCCCGUCGCAGGUGGAGACUAGUGGCGCCCCCUCCCCUAAGCCCUUCUUGCAGGUCGCGCCCCCAUCCUCCCGUCGCUAAGGUGACGGGGAAGGGGCGCCUGGCGACGGAGGGGGCGGCCGCAGAAGGGGACCUGGGGGCCACAGUGAAGUCCCAAACUCCGCCGCGGGGUGCCGCGGGACCCCGCUGGGCGCGGUCCGAAGGCUGAUGCGGGGGAUGCGGGGGGGUUCUUUCCGCGGGGCCGACUAGAGCCUACCCCGCGCGGGGCGCGCUACCAGUCGACCCCAUCGCUGGGGCAGGGUUGACCCCCCCAGCCCCCUCGGGGCCUGGAGUGGGGGUCGGCAGAGUGCCGAGAGGUCGCCAUCCCGGAGGAAUAAUUCUCCUUGUUUCUUCCCCUGCCUGGCCUGUGGUCCUGCCCCGACGCGGCCCCCACCCAGCUCCAAGACCCUCUGCCGUCCCUCGCCCGGUGGUCCGCGACGCUCGCCCGCAGCGGAAGCGCGGCGUGGCCCUCGCCGCUCAGUCACUCCCCCGCGAGGGCUAGGGCGCCUACAUCCCGGAGCAGCCCCUGGCCCCCGCCCCACGUGCGGACCCCCGCCCUCCUAGCCGACUGCCCCAGCGCGCGCGGGACCCGGAGAGAACCCCUGCGCUAGGUCCGGGGCCUCCCGCCCCCGCCGCCGGCGCGGCCCCCUCGCCACCCCCGCCUCGCUCCCGGCUCAGGCCCCCUCCCCCCGCCGCCCCCGCCCCCGGGGAAGGCAGGCGCCGAGCGGAGCCGGGGCCGAUGCAGCUGAGCCGCGCCGCCGCCGCCGCCGCUGCCGCGGAGCUCCCGGAGCCGCUGUCCCCUGAGCCGGCCCCGGCCCCG
rnacentral:lncRNA from 1 species